GUAAGUGUCAGUUAUUUGAAAUAUAAGUUUAGGACAAACACAUUCUACGUGAAAUAUUUCCACAAAACGUGUUUGUUAGGUUUCGAAGUACACAGAACUGACUUGAUUAAAGGUCAUCGCACAAAUGGUUCAUUUACUUUGAGGAAAGCUUGUGCAGGUGCUAAUUUACUAUGUAAUGUAAAGAAAUAUAUCAGCGGAAUACAACUGUGACUUUGUGGUCCUAAAGUGUUUUAUUUCUGAGCAGUGCUGCUUCUGCGUGUGAACAGAGAGUGUCUCUGGUGUUUUCCUGAUACGUCUGAUGUCAGGCGAGUUCUUUGUGGUGCUGAUUUUCAUUUCAUGUUUGUGUCUCUGACCUGUUUUCACGCCUGUAAACCUGUGAGCAUUACUUCAAAGCAGCGUUCACAUUUUCACCCACUUUAAGAGCGACCAUUUUGUUUUGAGGGGGGGUUAUUAUUGAAGACCCGCUCUGUGCCCAUCUUAGGCAUGGAUGGACUGUGCAGUAUUAUCCUUGUUCUUUUACUCACAGUAGCAGGAGCUUUCAAUAUUACCCCUGAAGAGGAGAAAAUUAACGUCCAUCUGGAACCAAAGUACAUUGAAGUUUGUGAAGAAGCUUCAGUCACAUUCAACUGCACUUUUCAGCCUCGUGGAAAGUACAAAGUGAGCUGGCAUUAUAGCCAGACACCUUAUUUAGACUGUGAAACAGAAAACAAGAUACCUGAAGGACAGAGAUUUUUUAAAGAGGAAGAUGAAGAUUGGUCAACACUCAACAUUACUUUUAACAAAGCCAGUGAGAGCGGAUGGUACUUCUGCAAGGUUACAAAAGACAUCCCGGUUCUCUUACGAUACUGCAGUAAUGGAACACAGGUUAUAGUCGAUGCCACUAGCAAUAGCACCAGCAGCACAACCAGCACCAGAACCACAGAAUCUCAGAAUCAGACAACAGCACAUUUACCUACAACUUGCAUGAACAAUGAUACAACAACCUCCACACCACCCAUGAUAUCAAAGGAGAAGUCUACUCAGUGGUGGAUAUGGCUAGCAUUGGCUGUUGGAUGCGCGGUACUUCUUGUGUCAAUUGUUGUCAUAUGCAUUUUGACACGCAAACCUGAAGUGUUUGGCUCAGUCCGCUGAUAAGAAUUAUUUCAAAUGGAGGACAUAAGCAUCAUAAAGCAUUAAGAU
rnacentral:lncRNA from 1 species